AGAGUUUGAUCCUGGCUCAGAUUGAACGCUAGCGGGAUGCUUUACACAUGCAAGUCGAACGGCAGCGCGAGAGAGCUUGCUCUCUUGGCGGCGAGUGGCGGACGGGUGAGUAAUAUAUCGGAACGCGCCCAGUAGCGGGGGAUAACUACUCGAAAGAGUGGCUAAUACCGCAUACGCCCUACGGGGGAAAGGGGGGGAUCGCAAGACCUCUCACUAUUGGAGCGGCCGAUAUCGGAUUAGCUAGUUGGUGGGGUAAAGGCUCACCAAGGCAACGAUCCGUAGCUGGUUUGAGAGGACGACCAGCCACACUGGGACUGAGACACGGCCCAGACUCCUACGGGAGGCAGCAGUGGGGAAUUUUGGACAAUGGGGGAAACCCUGAUCCAGCCAUCCCGCGUGUAUGAUGAAGGCCUUCGGGUUGUAAAGUACUUUUGGCAGAGAAGAAAAGGAAUCCCCUAAUACGGGAUACUGCUGACGGUAUCUGCAGAAUAAGCACCGGCUAACUACGUGCCAGCAGCCGCGGUAAUAC
rnacentral:rRNA from 1 species